GAACUUUCCAGAGAUGGAUUGGUGCCUUCGGGAACUCUGAGACAGGUGCUGCAUGGCUGUCGUCAGCUCGUGUUGUGAAAUGUUGGGUUAAGUCCCGCAACGAGCGCAACCCUUUAUCCUUUGUUGCCAGCGGUUAGGCCGGGAACUCAAAGGAGACUGCCAGUGAUAAACUGGAGGAAGGUGGGGAUGACGUCAAGUCAUCAUGGCCCUUACGAGUAGGGCUACACACGUGCUACAAUGGCGCAUACAAAGAGAAGCGACCUCGCGAGAGCAAGCGGACCUCAUAAAGUGCGUCGUAGUCCGGAUUGGAGUCUGCAACUCGACUCCAUGAAGUCGGAAUCGCUAGUAAUCGUGGAUCAGAAUGCCACGGUGAAUACGUUCCCGGGCCUUGUACACACCGCCCGUCACACCAUGGGAGUGGGUUGCAAAAGAAGUAGGUAGCUUAACCUUCGGGAGGGCGCUUACCACUUUGUGAUUCAUGACUGGGGUGAAGUCGUAACAAGGUAAGCGUAGUGCU
rnacentral:rRNA from 1 species